GCACUGCACCCGGCGAGUUACCUGGAAUACGUUUACUAAAUCGACAGGAAGAAGGAAAGAUCAAUGCGAUUCAAGUGCUGACGGUUGUACUCGUGAAGGAAAAAAACAAAUGCAAGCCGGGAAGUCCCCAGUGGUGCCUGCACCUAGGAGGCGACUGCAACGGAUGGAUGCGGGGGUAGAUAAUCAGCAACCCCCCAAGACUGUGCCUGCUGCACAACUACAGAACGCAGUGGAAGACACGCUGAAUUCUGAGUCAGAAGGUUGACUUUCUAGCUGUGGGGACUUGGCCAAACCUCCUCAGAGCUUCAGUUUUCUCAUCUGUAAAAUAGAGAUCUUAAUCCCUACCAAUCUCACAGGACUGCUGAGAGUAUCAGAUGAGGUAAGUAUAUAAAAUAGCUGUGCAAAUUUGUGUGAAGGCCUCCAGAGAGAAAUAGUGCAUGCAGGUGGCAUUAGAAACAUAGAUUCUAGUCCUGGCUUUGCAACCAAAUUAUUAUGUAAUUUUUUGUCUUGAUCAUCUUGUCUCUUACGAUUUCUUCAUAAGUUAAAUGAAAAGACACCUUUCAGCCCUGACCACUCCCAAACCUUCAGGACCCCCACUGGGUUGUGAGAUAGGAGCAGCCACAGGCAAGGUCACCCAGGACAGGAGUUAGAGCUGAAUCGUGCAAUAUGAGUGAGGUGUUCCUCUCAGCUUCAAAACCAGCUCUGGGUUGUAAACAAGCUACCACUUCCUCUAUCCCUCUGAAGUAACAUCAAAGUUGGGGUGCAGGAUGGAAGACAGUACCAUAUCCCCCUCUGUCCCAUCUUGCAUGGCCUUGCUCGGAUGCUGCCCAGCAUCA
rnacentral:lncRNA from 1 species